rnacentral:lncRNA from 1 species
UUUUCUAUGUAUACAUCUUGUAAUAUAAACAGCAAAAGCCCUGUACAUUGAUGACAAGUCAGAAUACAAAAAAACCUUCUCCCUAAACUUCGUCCUUCUCUUCUUCUUCUCGUCUGUUCCUUGCUUGCCUUCGGUUUCUAACAUGGUAUCAAAGCUUUGGCUUUAAGCUCCAUCUUCCGCAACUGAUUACUUUUGAAGCUGCAGGACAGAUCAACGUCUUGAUUACGAAAGAAUCAAAUUCUGUAAGAAGGAAGAAGAAACGGAAAUUUUUUUCUUACCUUGAAUCUAGAGAAUCUGCUCCCUGGCACU